AGUCUUGGUGACUUUGGGUUAGGCCAACAUUUCCAGAUGAGACACAAAGAUCAUGAGCCAUGAAAGAAAAAAAAAUGAAAACACUGGAGGGUUUGAUCUUAAAGAUACUGUCAAGAAAUAAGGAGCAGGCCUCUGGGGAGCAUAUUUCUAGAACACAUAUCUGAUACAUGAUUUUUAUCCAGAAUACAGACAGAAUGCCUAGAAAUCAAGAAUGAGAGAAAACCCACAUGAGAUCUCAACAGACCCUUGCUCAGAGAAGGUGAGCAGAUGGAAACCGAGUGCACAGAAGCUGGUCUGCACCGCUGGCCACCAGGGUAGCUGAGCUGACAGCAAUUAAUUAUUUCAUAAUACCCUUCCCUUUUGACUUGCCCAGAGGAAGGUAUCCUAAGAAGAUAGGGAUGCUGGAGGACCCAACAGACCCAGACCCAGGGCAGAGUUCCAAGAGGUGGAUCCCGACACUUCUAGAGCUGAGAGUGUUCACAGCGUGGAGCAUCCUCCCACAGCAAAGGGACUGCAAACCCUCAGCGGGGCAGAUAUGACUUUGGACUCUGAACACGUCUCUUUCAUGGAUCUGCACGAGACUACAGUUAAGCCAAAGGCAACGGACAAAUUGAUAGAAACAAGCAGAUGGGUGCCUGGGGUUCAUGCCGACCCAACAAAACAGAGCCAGUCACAAGCCUGGGGUGAUGAUCUAAGAACCUGCUCCUCUCUGUAACCCAAUGCUGCUCAAUUGUGGCCAUUUCAUGGCUCAUUAAUCCCCCUCCUGCUAGAAAGUGACCUGGGCAGAAAGAGAAGGUGAAACUCAAACAAAUCACUUCUGUUACUUUUUAGCAACUCUGGUCAAAAGGUAUGCAAGGGGGGCUGGGGACUGCAGGAUGCUGGGUGGCAACGUCAGGACAUCAAGACCCCUGAGUGGGGCAGGUGGAUGGAUCUCAAGACCGCACUGCACUCUCUUCAGCGUCCUUGGACAGAUCUGCUAUUGGGGGAAGAUCAUGCCAGUGGGCUUCUCAAUGGAUGAGGAGGUUUUCUUAUGGUAAGAAGACUAAAUCAUUAAGCAUUUCCCAGAUAAAGGGUUAGCUGGACCUUUGAGAAUGAGUUUUCAGAUACAGUGAAGUUGCUGGAAAAUCAAGUGUACUCCUCUUGCUAGAGCAGUUUCCUUGAGGAGAAGGCUGUCGUGGCCACAAAGACUGGGUGACUUCACGGAACCCAAACCAGGAAAACCAGGCCAUGCACUGCCACCACUGUUUCUGAUGGGUGGCAGGCUCCCCUGGAUGGAGGAGGAGACCACAUCACAGCUGGUGGCUACAAAAUAAAAAGGUAUGAAAGUGACUUCUAAUCGGAUGUUGCAGAGAGAAUGGUAACUGUUUCUAAGAGCAAGCGUGAGAGGAAGGAACCCCUGAAAGAUGGGAGAGGUGCUGAAGGAGACACAGGGAGACAUGGGCAGAGACUCAUGACCGGAGGCUUCUGGAAACAGGAGGACCAGAUUUCAGCACCAGAGGCAGAAGUCUAUGCAUCAAGUGUGUGGGAGCUUCCAUGGUCCCUAACCAUGAGGGGCUGUCCAGGCAGGAGGUAGUCUAUCAACUGGCCAGGUUAUAUGUGUGAGAGCUGGAGGAUGCCCAGGAUGUCAGGAGCACGUUAGGGCACCUCCACACAUGUCUAUCCAUGGACACGUGGAAUUACAAGCUUACAAACAUCUCCUAGAGAAACUCGUUAUCUAACUUUGGGCCCCAAGUGGUCCGGACCAGGUAACACGGCUGGUUGGUGGGGGAGUGGCCUGGCACCUUCUCAUCCGCUAAUUUUUCACAUUCCACACUGUCCUUGAAAUUUGGUGUCGGGGAAGUUUUGAUGGCAGACAGUAAGCCAGCUCAAAGUUCAGUCUUCCUUAUUAACAUCUUUAAAAGUAUCAGAUAUUUUGGAAAUAGUGCCGCAAAGUUUUUAGAAAGAUGUUAUCAGUGAUAACACGUUUGUGCCGUAGUGGAGGCCCCGGAGCUGCUGGCCAGUCAGGGCCACAUGACGACAAUGGUCAUUGGCCGCAGGGUGAGUGAGGGAGCUGAAGAUCUGAGCCUGCCAUCAGGGUUCCAUCCUGCCAACCAAGGGCUGGCGCUCACGAUCGCAUCUGACACUGCAGAUGGUUAUCUGGACAUCCUGGCCUUCCUGGACUUCCCUCCGAAGACUCCCCGGUCUAGAGUGAUUAUUUGGACGGACACUGAACACACAUCCGCAAUUAAAAAAAGAACAACAAACCACGAGAAAUUGAUCUUUUUUCAGUCUGGUGGAAAGAUAAUGGAUGGCUCAUUUGUCCAGACAUGAAACCCGGGGUCCUGGGCGGGAGGAAACCAAAUGACAUUAACAUCCAUUCCAGAGAAGUGACUCAGCUGGUGCACUGUUCUCAUAACAUAGAGCAAAAACAACCUCCAGAACAUUCACUCUUCUCAAAGGCAUUUGUUCGAAAAAAAGAAGAAGCAAUUUUCAUCCGUAAAAGUGGAAGGUGACGAUGCAAUACAGCUCCAUUUCCAAGGCAGACACCUGUGUCCUGGUAGUUUAACCACCACACCACUGGAGUGCAGCAUCUUCAUGAGAUGCCCCCAGAAAGGCCUGGUUCUUAUGUCCUAGGGAGAUGUCCCUCCUGUGUUGUCCAUCAUCAGCAUAGCCGCUGAGUUGGCCCUGCCAGACGUGUGGUGUGCAGCAGGUUGUGGCAGCACUGGGUGGGGCUGAAGUCUCUGUCUGCACCCGUGCACGGCCUUUCACGUCAGAGUGUGCAUGUGGUCUGACAGUAGCUGGACGGAGAUGGCUCCUGGCCAGGCUGCUGCUGUCUGAACCACGUGGAGGCCCUCUGGUGGGACUCAGGAGACCCCUUGGGGUGAGCCUCUGGCUGCCCUGACCUCACCCCUCAGAGUGUGGCUUCACUCUGGGAAGUGUCAGGAUUGCGAGCGGCUUUCCUGAAUUCGGACGGAACCAACACGUUCCUGUCUCCCAUCCACACCUCGAACCCGUGCGAGCUGCUUUCUGCCCAGCCACUAGACACACUGUCCUGGAAGGGACACACUGGUGUGAUGGCUGCUGCAGGCCUUUCUCAGCCUUCCGGAUCCUUGGAGCACCUACUGAGGACAUCAGCUCAUGUUGGGCUUUCUCUGUGCCCUUGACCUUUCUUGUUUGCUCCCCUUUCCUGGUUUCCAUUCUGUAAAGGACUGGGCUCUGCCACGACCCUUCCUUUCCUUUUGCUCCAGGUGAGGACCCUGGUCCACUCUCCCUGCGCCAGGGCAGCCUGGAGGAGGCGGCUCCCACCCUGCUGCUGGCGCCUCUGUCUCUGGACCCACAGACACUCUAGACCUAAAAGUGAACUUGCUACUUAGUUUCCUACAGUCCUGCUUCCGGCAAGAACUCAGGAACAGCGAGUAUCCUGAGUAUCCUUCUCCUUCUGUCCGUCACUCAGCUCAGAGCAGCACAUCAAUCUAGAUGCCACCACACCUACCAUGGUGGGGACACUGCUGGCGUCUGUCUUCCCAGCAGUCCCCGUCUGCCCACGGUGAGUGUGGGAGCAUGGCGCUCUGGCCUCUGCCUGUCUGUCUGGGGUCAUCUCCUAACCCCGCCUUGCAGUGGCUGGGUCUCCCUUCUCCUCAGUCUAAACUGGGUUCCUUCACAUCUCCAGGACUGGCUGGCGUUCUCCUUCUCUCUGGAACAGCCUUUGCUCCUUUCUUCUGGUGAAACCCAAUGCCGCUCCUCUGUGGUCCCACCGCCCUUCUCCUGUGGUUGUCACUUGUGUGUGCAUCUAGCCUGUCUCCAAGCCCCAAGCUGCAUGUGGGCCAGGGAGGGGGCCCUGUCCAUCCCCAUCUGAUUUCCAGGAAGAGAGUCCCUGUGUCCUGGAGAGGCUCUGCCCUCCACGCAGCCUGUCUCCGUGGGCCGCCGGGUGCGUGUGGGCCACAGCAGCCUCGUGGGACCAAUGUCUCUGACCAGCGCCAGCGGCAGGAGCCCUGCCAGCUCCUGCACCUUUCAGGGAGCAGGUCUUAAUGAAGCAGUUUGCUGACCCCCGUGUAUGCAUCGAUCCUAAACAGAGCUAGAAGUACUGCUGAGGGGAGAAAAGCAUAUAUAUAUACACAGAAAGAGAGAAAAAUACAGAAAGGAAAAGAAUACACCAGAGUAAACGGGAUAUUGGCUAUGAGAAGUCAUCUUCUAGCAGCGCAGGAGGGAAAUAAAUCAGCUUGGCUUAUUAAUACAUUAAUGAACAACUAUGCAUGUCUCAGUGUGUAACUAGGCUGUGAUAAGCUCAUGCGCUCGCCCCCCUGGAACUUAACCCUGCCUGGAACGUGCCCCGAGUUGGGCCUGGAUUCCCGUUAGAGCAGGUCGUGCGACAGGGGGGUUGUAUGCAGACCACCUCUGCUCAUUUACUGGCAUGCUCCGGUGGCAGCAGCACUUCCUGAAGACCGAGCGAGCGUAGGGCCGCUCUCGACAUGCAUUUCCAGGUAGGCGGUGUCCUGCUGCUGCUGAAGGCCC